rnacentral:lncRNA from 1 species
GUUAUUAAGUGAAACUGCUUAUCUUUGCCUUUGCCUUUCAUUCACAAUGUCAAGGGGCCAAGUCAUAAGAGUCUGGUGUAAGAUCAAUUUUUAAACCUAAGUCCUCCUAGAGUUUAGGUUUUGCCCUCUUUUAGGUCACCUUGCAUGAGUCGCCGUUGAAUAAGAUUGGCUAUCCCUUUUUUCUGUCCUAUAGUUAUUUGGAGUCAUUAUGGGGCCU